UGGCCCCUUAGCUCAGUGGUUAGAGCAGGCGACUCAUAAUCGCUUGGUCGUUGGUUCAAACCCAACAGGGGCUACCAU
rnacentral:tRNA from 1 species